rnacentral:rRNA from 1 species
UAGGGAAUCUUCGGCAAUGGACGAAAGUCUGACCGAGCAACGCCGCGUGAGUGAAGAAGGUUUUCGGAUCGUAAAACUCUGUUGUUAGAGAAGAACAAGGACGUUAGUAACUGAACGUCCCCUGACGGUAUCUAACCAGAAAGCCACGGCUAACUACGUGCCAGCAGCCGCGGUAAUACGUAGGUGGCAAGCGUUGUCCGGAUUUAUUGGGCGUAAAGCGAGCGCAGGCGGUUUCUUAAGUCUGAUGUGAAAGCCCCCGGCUCAACCGGGGAGGGUCAUUGGAAACUGGGAGACUUGAAUGCAGAAGAGGAGAGUGGAAUUCCAUGUGUAGCGGUGAAAUGCGUAGAUAUAUGGAGGAACACCAGUGGCGAAGGCGGCUCUCUGGUCUGUAACUGACGAUGAGGCUCGAAAGCGUGGGGAGCAAACAGA